UACAGACCAAGUUAUUAAGAGCUAUUGGUGGAUGCCUUGGCAUUGACAGGCGAUGAAGGAUGCGUUUACCUGCAGUAAUCUUCGGCGAGCUGGUAUAAAGCUAUGACCCGGAGGUCUCCGAAUGGGGCAACCCGAUAGAUUAAUCAUCUAUCAUUAUACGCUGAAUACAUAGGCGUAUAAGGCGACACCUGCUGAACUGAAACAUCUUAGUAAGCAGAGGAAAAUAAAUCAAAGAGAUUCCCUGAGUAGCGGCGAGCGAAAGGGGAGAAGACCAAACCACAUUUUUAAUGUGGGGUUGUAGGGUCGAUAACAUGGGAUCUUAAGUUUUAGUCGAAUACUUCUGGAAAGUAGAACGAUACAGGGUGAUAGUCCCGUAGACGAAAAAACAAGAGACUCUAUUCGAUACCUGAGUAGGGCUAGACACGUGAAACCUAGUCUGAAUCUGGGGAGACCACUCUCCAAGUCUAAAUACUAGUCAAUGACCUAUAGUGAACCAGUACUGUGAAGGAAAGGUGAAAAGAACCCUUGUUAAGGGAGUGAAAUAGAACCUGAAACCAGUAGCUUAUAAGCGGUCGAAGACCUAUAACUUCUUCGGAAGUCAUGGUUGACGGCGUGCCUUUUGCAUGAUGAGCCAGGGAGUUAAGUUAAACGGCGAGGUUAAGGGAUCUACAUUCCGGAGCCGAAGCGAAAGCGAGUUUUAAAAGAGCGUUUAGUCGUUUGAUUUAGACACGAAACCAAGUGAGCUAUUUAUGACCAGGUUGAAGCAUGGGUAAGACCUUGUGGAGGACCGAACCAGUACAUGUUGAAAAAUGUUUGGAUGAGUUGUGAAUAGGGGUGAAAGGCCAAUCAAACUUGGAGAUAUCUUGUUCUCUCCGAAAUAACUUUAGGGUUAGCCUCGGAUAUUAAGCUUUUGGGGGUAGAGCACUGAAUUCUAGCGGGGGCCUACCGGCUUACCAACGGAAAUCAAACUCCGAAUACCAAAAGUGAGUCCGGGAGAUAUACAGCGGGGGCUAACUCGU
rnacentral:rRNA from 1 species